GAUGAAGAACGUAGCGAAAUGCGAUAAGUAAUGUGAAUUGCAGAAUUCAGUGAAUCAUCGAAUCUUUGAACGCACAUUGCGCCCUCUGGUAUUCCGGGGGGCAUGCCUGUUCGAGCGUCAUUAAACCACUCAAGCUUUCGCUUGGUAUUGGGGCUCGCGGUUCCGCGGCCCCUAAAAUCAGUGGCGGUGCCUGUCGGCUCUACGCGUAGUAAUACUCCUCGCGAUUGAGUCCGGUAGGUCUACUUGCCAGCAACCCCCAAUUUUUACAGGUUGACCUCGGAUCAGGUAGGGAUACCCGCUGAACUUAAGCAUAUCAAUAAGCGGAGGA
rnacentral:misc_RNA from 1 species